CCUACGGGUGACAGCAGUGAGGAAUAUUUGUCAAUGGACGAGAGUCUGAACCAGCCAAGUAGCGUGAAGGAUGACUGCCCUAUGGGUUGUAAACUUCUUUUAUAUGGGAAUAACAUGUUCCACGUGUGGGAUUUUGUAUGUACCAUAUGAAUAAGGAUCGGCUAACUCCGUGCCAGCAGCCGCGGUAAUCCGGAGGAUCCGAGCGUUAUCCGGAUUUAUUGGGUUUAAAGGGAGCGUAGGUGGAUUGUUAAGUCAGUUGUGAAAGUUUGCGGCUCAACCGUAAAAUUGCAGUUGAAACUGGCAGUCUGGAGUACAGUAGAGGUGGGCGGAAUUCGUGGUGUAGCGGUGAAAUGCUUAGAUAUCACGAAGAACUCCGAUUGCGAAGGCAGCUCACUGGACUGCAACUGACACUGAGGCUCGAAAGUGUGGGUAUCAAACAGGAUUAGAUACCCGGGUAGUC
rnacentral:rRNA from 1 species